rnacentral:rRNA from 1 species
GACGAACGCUGGCGGCAUGCCUAAUACAUGCAAGUCGAACGAGUGGCGGACGGGUGAGUAACACGUGGGAACCUACCCAUCAGAGGGGGAUAAAACUUGGAAACAGGUGCUAAUACCGCAUACUGAUUGAUGUACCCGCGGUGCAUUAGCUAGUAGGUGGGGUAAAGGCUCACCUAGUCGACGAUCUCUAGCUGGUCUGAGAGGAUGACCAGCCACACUGUGACUGAUACACGGCCCAGACGCCUACGUGAGGCAGCAUUGGGGAAUAUUGCACAAUGGGCGCAAGCCUGAUGCAGCCAUGCCGCGUGUAUGAUGAAGGCCUUAGGGUUGUAAAGUACUUUCAGCAGGGAGGCGUUAUCCGCAGAAGAAGCACCGGCUAACUCCGUGCCAGCAGCCGCGGUAAUUC